GUGGGGAAUAUUGGACAAUGGGCGCAAGCCUGAUCCAGCAAUGCCGCGUGGGUGAAGAAGGUCUUCGGAUCGUAAAGCCCUUUCGACAGGGACGAUGAUGACGGUACCUGUAGAAGAAGCCCCGGCUAACUUCGUGCCAGCAGCCGCGGUAAUACGAAGGGGGCUAGCGUUACUCGGAAUUACUGGGCGUAAAGGGCGCGUAGGCGGCUCUGUUAGUCAGGCGUGAAAUUCCUGGGCUUAACCUGGGGACUGCGCUUGAUACUGCAGGGCUUGAGGCCGAGAGAGGGUGGUGGAAUUCCCAGUGUAGAGGUGAAAUUCGUAGAUAUUGGGAAGAACACCGGUGGCGAAGGCGGCCAACUGGUCCAUUACUGACGCUGAGGUGCGAAAGCGUGGGGAGCAAACAGGAUUAGAAACCCUAGUAGUCC
rnacentral:rRNA from 1 species